rnacentral:rRNA from 1 species
GGCGGUUCGCUGCCCGCGACGUCGAAAGAAGUCCACUGAACCUUAUCAUUUAGAGGAAGGAGAAGUCGUAACAAGGUUUCCGUAGGUGAACCUGCGGAAGGAUCAUUGCCAUGCCUAUGGUGCACGACCCGUGAACAAGUAAAAAACAUCAGGGGAUCGCGGCGGGCAGCGUUAGCUAUUCCGUUGACAAAACGUCACCUAUCCAGGGUCUACGUCGAUAAAACGUCGGUCUUUUAAUGGGUUUGGUGCCGUCGGUGGACAACGAGAGUUGUCCACUCGACAACGUUGUACGUCUGGGAUCUACGCUUGGGGUAUAGCCGGAUGUGCCGUUGGCGGGCAGCUCUUGUUGUCCUGUCGCGUWUCCCUGGUCGGACGGUCCCCCGAUCUUCGGGGUGUCCCCCGACCAACUCACCCACCCCGGCGCGGAAUGCGCCAAGGAAAAUCAAACUGAACUGCGUCGUCCCUCCCGUUUGCGGGCUGGUGCGUCGUCUAUUUCUAGAAAACACAAACGACUCUCGGCAACGGAUAUCUCGGCUCUCGCAUCGAUGAAGAACGUAGCGAAAUGCGAUAUUUGGUGUGAAUUGCAGAAUCCCGUGAACCAUCGAGUUUUUGAACGCAAGUUGCGCCCGAGGCCUUCUGGCCGAGGGCACGUCUGCUUGGGCGUCACGCUCUAUGCGCCCCCACCAAACCCCACGUAUGUGUCGGUGCUGGCGGAGGGCGGAAGUUGGCCUCCCGUGCCUCGUUGCACGGYUGGCCCAAAUGCGAGUCCUUGGCGGCGGAUACGUCACGACAAGUGGUGGUUGUCUCUUUGUCACUUAUCACGUCGUGCUGUGGUUCGUCGUUGGUGGGAGCCUCACGUGACCCUAUUUGCGUGCCACUCUUUUGUGUGCUUGCAACACUUGCGACCCCAAGUCAGGCGGGACUACCCGCUGAGUUUAAGCAUAUCAAUAAG